rnacentral:misc_RNA from 1 species
GAUGAAGAACGUAGCGAAAUGCGAUAAGUAAUAUGAAUUGCAGAAUUCAGUGAAUCAUCGAAUCUUUGAACGCACAUUGCGCCCCUUGGUAUUCCGAGGGGCAUGCCUGUUCGAGCGUCAUUAUAACCCCUCAAGCUCAGCUUGGUGUUGGGGCCUGCUGCACUGGCAGCCCUUAAAAUCAGUGGCGGCGCCAUCUGGCUCUAAGCGUAGUAAUUCUUCUCGCUAUGGAGUCCUGGUGGAUGCUUGCCAUCAACCCCCAAUUUUUCUAUGGUUGACCUCGGAUCAGGUAGGGAUACCCGCUGAACUUAAGCAUAUCAAUAAGCGGAGGA